CGGUAAGGUGAUAUGAACCGUUAUAACCGGCGAUUUCCGAAUGGGGAAACCCAGUGUGAUUCGUCACACUAUCAUUAACUGAAUCCAUAGGUUAAUGAGGCGAACCGGGGGAACUGAAACAUCUAAGUACCCCGAGGAAAAGAAAUCAACCGAGAUUCCCCCAGUAGCGGCGAGCGAACGGGGAGGAGCCCAGAGCCUGAAUCAGCAUGUGUGUUAGUGGAAGCGUCUGGAAAGGCGCGCGAUACAGGGUGACAGCCCCGUACACAAAAGCGCAUGUGCUGUGAGCUCGAUGAGUAGGGCGGGACACGUGGUAUCCUGUCUGAAUAUGGGGGGACCAUCCUCCAAGGCUAAAUACUCCUGACUGACCGAUAGUGAACCAGUACCGUGAGGGAAAGGCGAAAAGAACCCCGGCGAGGGGAGUGAAAAAGAACCUGAAACCGUGUACGUACAAGCAGUGGGAGCACAGGUUUACCUGUGUGACUGCGUACCUUUUGUAUAAUGGGUCAGCGACUUAUAUUCUGUAGCAAGGUUAACCGAAUAGGGGAGCCGGAGGGAAACCGAGUCUUAAUUGGGCGUUAAGUUGCAGGGUAUAGACCCGAAACCCGGUGAUCUAGCCAUGGGCAGGUUGAAGGUUGGGUAACACUAACUGGAGGACCGAACCGACUAAUGUUGAAAAAUUAGCGGAUGACCUGUGGCUGGGGGUGAAAGGCCAAUCAAACCGGGAGAUAGCUGGUUCUCCCCGAAAGCUAUUUAGGUAGCGCCUCGUGAAUUCAUCUCCGGGGGUAGAGCACUGUUUCGGCUAGGGGGCCAUCCCGGCUUACCAACCCGAUGCAAACUGCGAAUACCGGAGAAUGUUAUCACGGGAGACACACGGCGGGUGCUAACGUCCGUCGUGAAGAGGGAAACAACCCAGACCGCCAGCUAAGGUCCCAAAGUCAUGGUUAAGUGGGAAACGAUGUGGGAAGGCCCAGACAGCCAGGAUGUUGGCUUAGAAGCAGCCAUCAUUUAAAGAAAGCGUAAUAGCUCACUGGUCGAGUCGGCCUGCGCGGAAGAUGUAACGGGGCUAAACCAU
rnacentral:rRNA from 1 species